rnacentral:rRNA from 1 species
UACGUAGGGUGCAAGCGUUUGUCCGGAAUUAUUGGGCGUAAAGAGCUCGUAGGCGGUUUGUUGCGUCGGCUGUGAAAUCCCGAGGCUCAACCUCGGGUCUGCAGUCGAUACGAGCAAACUAGAGUGUUGCAGGGGAGACUGGAAUUCCUGGUGUAGCGGUGAAAUGACGCAGAUAUCAGGAGGAACACCGGUGGCGAAGGCGGGUCUCUGGGCCGAUAUCGACGUGGAGGAGCGAAAGCGUGGGGGAGCGAAACAGG